GACGAAGGUGGCGAGCGUUGUUCGGAAUCAUUGGGCUUAAAGCGCACGUAGGCGGCCUAACAAGUGUCUUGUGAAAUCCCUCGGCUCAACCGAGGAAUUGCUGGGCAUACUGUCAGGCUUGAGGCAGGUAAGGGCGAGUGGAACUCUUGGUGGAGCGGUGGAAUGCGUAGAUAUCAAGAGGAACGCCGGUGGUGAAGACGAUUCGCUGGGCCUGUCCUGACGCUGAGGUGCGAAAGCCAGGGGAGCAAAC
rnacentral:rRNA from 1 species